CUACGGGGUGCAGCAGGCGCGAAACCUUUACAAUGCACGCAAGUGUGAUAAGGGGAUCCUAAGUGCUCAUGCUUCGGUAUGGGCUUUUUUCAAGAGUAAAUAUCUUGGAGAAUAAGUGGUGGGUAAGACUGGUGCCAGCCGCCGCGGUAACACCAGCGCCACAAGUGGCAACCGCGUUUAUUGGGCCUAAAGCGUCCGUAGCCGGUUAAAUGAAUCUUUUGUGAAAUCGUCAGGCUCAACUUGACGGCAUGCAUAAGACACUAUUUAACUCGAGACCGGGAGGAGUCAGAGGUAUUCUUGAGGGAGCGGUAAAAUGUGAUAAUCUCAGGAGGAUCACCUAUGGCGAAGGCAUCUGACCAGAACGGUUCUGACGGUGAGGGACGAAGGCUGGGGGAGCGAUCCGGAUUAGAUACCCUAGUAGUC
rnacentral:rRNA from 1 species